AGACGUCUACAUUAGAUACCCGCGUAGUCCCAGCCGUAAACUAUGCGCGUUAGGUGUAUCGGUGACCACGAGUUACCGAGGUGCCGAAGGGAAACCGUGAAACGUGCCGCCUGGGAAGUACGGUCGCAAGGCUGAAACUUAAAGGAAUUGGCGGGGAGCACCACAACAGGUGGAGCCUGCGGUUUAAUUGGACUCAACGCCGGGAAGCUCACCGGAUAGGACAGCAGAAUGAUUGCCGGGCUAAAGACUCUGCAUGACUAGCUG
rnacentral:rRNA from 1 species